rnacentral:tRNA from 1 species
GGAGAGAUGGCCGAGCGGUUUAAGGCAGCAGUCUUGAAAACUGCCGUGGGCCUGCGCCCACCGUGGGUUCGAAUCCCACUCUCUCCGCCA